UACGAAGGGGGCUAGCGUUGCUCGGAAUCACUGGGCGUAAAGCGCACGUAGGCGGAUUGCUAAGUCAGGGGUGAAAUCCUGGAGCUCAACUCCAGAACUGCCCUUGAUACUGGCGGUCUCGAGUUCGGGAGAGGUGAGUGGAACUGCGAGUGUAGAGGUGAAAUUCGUAGAUAUUCGCAAGAACACCAGUGGCGAAGGCGGCUCACUGGCCCGGUACUGACGCUGAGGUGCGAAAGCGUGGGGAGCAAACAGG
rnacentral:rRNA from 1 species